rnacentral:misc_RNA from 1 species
UCUUAUUGCAACUCCUGUGCUGUGUUGGAUGAGGUUGACAUCCUCUUUAAUGAUGAGGAUUUUGAGACUGCAUUUCAAUGCUUGAUUAAUUCAUCACCUAUCAUCACACAAUAUCUAUUUGUGACUGCUACUUUGCCCAUGGACAUAUACAACAAGUUGGUAGAAAGUUUUCCUGAUUGCGAACUAGUGACUGGUCCUGGUAUGCAUCGUACAAGCCCUGGCUUGGAAGAGACUACCUCUCAAGAAAG